UGAAAGGGCAAUACAAUCGUUGGCAGGU
rnacentral:piRNA from 1 species